CGGUGGUCAGAACCGAAUCCGUGUUCACGCU
rnacentral:rRNA from 1 species